AGGUAGGUUCGUAAACAUUAAAAUUCCAAUCAUUUAAAUUUUACGAAGGCAUAUCAAAAACUUCACAAACACUCGUAGAUUUCGUAUAGUGGACAAAUUAAAAGUCCUGUGCUCAAAUAUUGACGAAAAAUAUCAUUUCGAUACCUACAUAUUACCGAUUAUUAUUGAAUUAGCAAGAUGAAAGUUGCAUUCGUUAUUACAAUUUCGGUAUACAUUUUUUGUAUGUUGCUGUUCAGUGCAUCAAAUAUCAGGGAAAUAGCUGCUCGUGAUAUUCCUCAAAAUAAUACGAUGUGUUCCCCUGAACAACCAUGUAUGAGAAUGUCACGAAAAUACCCAUUGCGUCAAUGAGCCGAACCAUGGAAAACUAUAAGAAUUUACUUUUUUUUAAUAUUAGUUUUUAUCCUACUACCUAGAUGGAAUAAAACGCCACUUUAUUCACACUCGCUAGUCGCUCGAGUGAUCAAAUGCACGUUUCAUGAUACGAAUAAAUAAUAUUUGAAAAUUGAUUGAUAUAUGUAUCUUCGAGUAGGUGUAGUUGAUUUUAUAGCUAAAUACCUACCUUACAAAUUAUUGAUCGUUAUAUUCUAACAUUCGUAAGAACUUGGAACAGAAUAAUAAUGAAAUAGAAUUGAAGAUUCCAGUACCUACAUUUCCCCGGAUCGAUUCUGCCGAAUACGUUUUUGCCGGACUACCAAAAUCCCCAGUAAUAAAAUCCCUAAUCGAUUUUCCGGAAUAACUUUUGUGCUGCUUUAUGAUCCAAAAUGCCACAAUCCCGGAUUAUAAAUAUGUAUCCGAAAUUGAAAAUUCCAAAUGCGGUAAAAUCUUGAGUGGAUUAUUGAUGUUCUAACUUUUCUCCAUGUCAUGGAAAAUGGCGGAUUUUUUUAAUCUGUUACAUCAACGCCAAGAUUAGUUUUGAUUAAGAGUCGGAAAAUUUUGAAAAAAAUUGAAAAAUUGUCUAAAAGAGGAAAAAAAAGACCCAAUAAUUUUUUAAACAAGAAAAUCUCCUUUGAAUGCAACACGCAGUACAAUUUAGAAGGGGCGGGGAGAGGAGUAUAAUAAAAAUUGAAAAUACAGAAUUAAGGGGUGAAUGGGAUGUGUGUCUUUCAUCAUUAGUUAUUAACCAUCCGAAAAAUUGAAAAAAUGCACUCAUUUGAAAAUUAUUGAAGCAUUUAAUGAAUUUGUGAGAACUAAAGAAUUUUUUCAAUAAAAUUACGUUGAAGUAGAAUUUUAAGAAACGAGAAAGCGCAAUAAAACCCGAGAACAUGGUUCGGUUUCAUUGGUCGUUCCAAUUUUUACCACAAAAAUUACUCAAACUUUGGUGGCCGAAAUUAGGGCACCCUAUAAUACGUAGGUACAAAAAUGUUGGAAAAUUUGUCAACCUUUUUGUUGAUGGAACGAAAUAUUGACCGAACGGUAGGUAAUAAUAUAUACAAACAUUUUUGCUUUGAAGCAUGAGAUGUGGCAUAGAAUUUUUUUAUAUCUUGGAAAAAAAUAAAUAGGUAUUUUACCACUUUAUCGGAUGUUGUAAUGGGCUAUGAUGAUGAACAUGGAGAGACAUACUUGAUGAAAACAAAAACACAAAUCCACAGCAUAAAUGAAAUGAAAGACUGAACUCACAGAUGAAUUUUUAUUUUUGUAUAUUUUCAUCAGUAUUUCUCUCAUUCACUUUUUUGGAAAAAAAUUCAUAAGAAAUCAAGGAGAUAUUUUGGGACUUAUGGUUUGAGCUCCAUUGUGCACACCUAUAGGUACAUUAAUUACAACUCACUUGUAUGAAGUGCAACAAUCAAUUUGGAUAGUCGAUAAUAGGGCACUGUACCUUUAUUUUAUAUGAGUGUAGGCAACUUCUCAUUGGUAGAAUAAUAAUUAAUUCAUUAAAUUAACAAAAAUUCAAUUACUCGUAAUUCUCUUGCGUAAUAAUUACCUACCUAACCUGCCAACUUCAUUUAGGCAGGUUCUUAAGUACUAAAAAUUCAAUUACCUAUUUACAUUUUACUAUCGUACCUUUCAUGUAUUCUUACGUACCUAAUUGAAAAAAUGUUGUUCUUAUAUUAUAUCAAAAAUCAUAUAAACAGUCGUACAUUUCGUAGUGGACAAAUUAAAAGUUGUGUGCUCGAAUAUUGAUGAAAAAUAUCAUUUAGUUACCUAUUACCGAAUAUUAUUGAAUUAGCAAGAUGAAAGUGACAUUCGUUAUUACAUUUUCGGCGUUCAUUUUUUGCAUUUUGCUGUUCAGUGCAUCAAAUAUCAGGGAAACGUAUGCUCGUCAUCAUAUCAUUAGUCCAGAUCUGAUCAUGGAUACAGACGAUACAGUGGAACACCACAAAGGGGUCCCUAUAGGUCCGGGUCAUCCUCUCGGAGGGUUACCUGUGGGUCUUGUUCGGGGAAGAAGAAAAAGAAAGGCUGUCAUGUAGCCACUGUGGGACUAUAUUAGGGUAGCCUGGGACCCCUCUGGGUCAAGUGGAAGAACGACAGUUUGCUCAUUACUAUCAGCAAAGUUGGUGACACUGCAACACUCACGGUUUUCUGUUUCACUAUCCGUUUCAUGUUCUCUAAAUAAAUGAAAAAUUUUCAAAGUCCUGUCACGCACUAACUUCCUGUAGGUACCACUGUCUGUAGUUAUAAUUAAUAUAAUUUUGGUUGUUUCUGAAAAUAAAAUUAUAAAAAAUUCAA